rnacentral:rRNA from 1 species
ACGUAGGGUGCAAGCGUUAAUCGGAAUUACUGGGCGUAAAGCGUGCGCAGGCGGUUAUAUAAGACAGAUGUGAAAUCCCCGGGCUCAACCUGGGAACUGCAUUUGUGACUGUAUAGCUAGAGUACGGCAGAGGGGGAUGGAAGUCCGCGUGUAGAAGCGAAAGGCGUAUAUAUGCGGAUGAACACCAAUGGCGAAGGCAAUAACCUGGGCCUGAACUGACGGUCAUGCACCAAAGUGUGGGGAGCAAACAG